rnacentral:rRNA from 1 species
GGCGGGCCCGCCUUAACUGGCCGCCGGGGGGCUCACGCCCCCGGGCCCGCGCCCGCCGAAGACACCCUCGAACUCUGUCUGAAGAUUGUAGUCUGAGUGAAAAUAUAAAUUAUUUAAAACUUUCAACAACGGAUCUCUUGGUUCCGGCAUCGAUGAAGAACGCAGCGAAAUGCGAUACGUAAUGUGAAUUGCAAAUUCAGUGAAUCAUCGAGUCUUUGAACGCACAUUGCGCCCCCUGGUAUUCCGGGGGGCAUGCCUGUCCGAGCGUCAUUGCUGCCCUCAAGCACGGCUUGUGUGUUGGGCCCCGUCCUCCGAUUCCGGGGGACGGGCCCGAAAGGCAGCGGCGGCACCGCGUCCGGUCCUCGAGCGUAUGGGGCUUUGUCACCCGCUCUGUAGGCCCGGCCGGCGCUUGCCGAUCAACCCAAAUUUUUAUCCAGGUUGACCUCGGAUCAGGUAGGGAUACCCGCUGAACUUAAGCAUAUCAAU